GAUUAACGCUGGCGGCGUGCAUAACACAUGCAAGUCGAACGAUGAAACUUAAAUGAUUUCUUCGGAAUGAACUUAGGUGGAUUAGUGGCGGACGGGUGAGUAACGCGUGAGUAACCUGCCUUACACAAGGGGAUAGCCGUUGGAAACGACGAAUAAUACCCUAUGAAACUAUCACUUCGCAUGAAGCGAUAGUCAAAGUGUUAGCGGUGUAAGAUGGACUUGCGUCUGAUUAGCUAGUUGGUGAGAAAAAAGCCCACCAAGGCAACGAUCAGUAGCCGGCUUGAGAGAGUGUACGGCCACAUUGGGACUGAGGCACGGCCCAGACUCCUACGGGAGGCAGCAGUGGGGAAUUUUGCACAAUGGGGGAAACCCUGAUGCAGCGACGCCGCGUGAUUUAGAAGGCCUUCGGGUUGUAAAAAUCUUUUGUAUAGGAAGAAAAUGACAGUACUAUACGAAUAAGGUCCGGCUAAUUACGUG
rnacentral:rRNA from 1 species